GCCUGGGUGGCUCAGUCGGUUGAGCGGCUGACUUCGGCUCAGGUCAUGAUCUCGCGGUUCGUGAGUUCAAGCCCCGCGUCGGGCU
rnacentral:tRNA from 1 species